UACGUAGGGAGCAAGCGUUGUCCGGAAUCAUUGGGCGUAAAGCGCGCGUAGGCGGCCCGAUAAGUCCGCUGUGAAAGUCAACGGCUCAACUGUUGGAUGCCGGUGGAUACUGUCGGGCUAGAGUACGGAAGAGGCAAGUGGAAUUCUCGGUGUAGCGGUGAAAUGCGUAGAUAUCGAGAGGAACACCUGCGGCGAAGGCGGGUUGCUGGGCUGACACUGACGCUGAGGCGCGAAAGCUAGGGGAGCGAACGGG
rnacentral:rRNA from 1 species